rnacentral:lncRNA from 1 species
AGACGAAAGCACAGUUCUGAGCAUGAGAGCUCACAUUCUGUUUCUACCAGGUGCUGAAGAAAAGCAAGACAGGUGGUUAAGACUGAAGAGUUGAUCCUGCGCUGUGCUGUGGAGUGGGCAGCUUCUCUCCAUCUUCUCUCACCCUGACACACUGUCUUAGGAUUCCAGUCUCAGAAGCCAGGAACAUAAGCUCCAGGAAAGCCACAGACUAUGGCCACCUACAUCUUGAAGCUCCGUGCCUGCCCUUGGGAGACACUAAAGAAAGGGUCUCACUAUAUUGCCCAGGCUGGCCUUGAACUCUUGGGCUCUAGCAAUCCUCCCAUCUCAGCUUGCCAAGUAGCUGGUACUACAGGCCCAUGCCACUACAUCCAGCUAUAUUAACUCAACUUUGAAGACAAUGUGACAUCCAGGCUGACAUGCAACUUACUGCCAAAUAUAUUUUCCUAUAGCUUUAUUUAAAAUAUUGACUAAAAAUAGGAUCAUCUAAAC